AAGCUUAAAAUUUCACGACUUCGACCGAGAUUAAACAGACCAUACUCGGCAGACUGUGAGAUUGUGAUCAAUCAAGACGACAAACAUGGCUCACAUUUUUGAACUGCUGUGCCUUCUUGCAACAGAGUGAGAUUCAGCAACACAUAGGAAGACCACAGCAUGGAUUAAGAGACAGGAAGAAUCCAUUUGAAUGCUACAAGGAUGAACCUUUCAGAGUGGGCUACCAACAGAGAGAAACGACACAUUGCCUGACAUGUUACAUGUUUUGACAGGACUUUGUUUUUAUGCCAUUGGUACCUUUUAGAAGAUGCAAGCAGACAAAGCAACUAUAUCAUAGUCAUCCGUGUGCAGAAUCAUCAAAGAUUUUUCUGAGGCAAUGGCAAGGAGUAACAGUUGAUGAAGUGUCCGAUGACGAGAAAUUCAAACCACCCAGCGACAAUUUGAUGAUUGCUACAGGUUUCCAAGAGUCGUAGGUGCUAUCGAUUGGGGCCAUGUCUACAUCAGGAGUCCUGAUGGGGAACAAGCCCUGUACUUAGCAGGAAGAACAGGUCUUUUGUAAAUGUAUAGGUAUCCGUUGCUCCUCUCUUUGAUGAAUUCCUGCCUGCAUUCUGUUGUCAAUAGAAAAGGACCAUGUGCUUCGGGUAUUAAGCAUUCCAUUGGAUUAUCUGUGUAUGAAAGUGGACACUUGUGAUCACAAAAUGGUAGCUUAGUUGAUAGGAUGUAUUCAUGCAUUCCGAUUUAUCAUUAGUGAUCAAAUGACCAUCUUGCUUUUAAAAACCCAAGUUCACAACAUUUUUCUUGUUUGACAAAAGGUUUGGGAUGUGAAUUCCAGGAAAUAAAUGAAACACACGAUGGGCUAAUGUAUAAGCAGGGAUGUGAGAGGUAUAAGCAACAUUUUGCUCAUGCUUAACUAAGUUUGGCAUGAGAUGGUCUUGGUCAUUCUUAUGAUUCAAGUCUAUUUUUAUACCAUUU